rnacentral:pre_miRNA from 8 species
UUCUUGUUCACAACCAAACUCUACUUGUCCUUCUGAGUGUGAUUACGCCCAUGGAGUAGCUCAGGAGGCAAACAGGGUUACCCUGUGGAUAGGUCUGAAAA